UACGGGGGGAGCAAGCGUUGUUCGGAUUUACUGGGCGUAAAGGGCGCGUAGGCGGCGUGACAAGUCACUUGUGAAAUCUCCGGGCUUAACUCGGAACGGUCAAGUGAUACUGUCGUGCUAGAGUACAGAAGGGGCAACUGGAAUUCUCGGUGUAGCGGUGAAAUGCGUAGAUAUCGAGAGGAACACCUGCGGCGAAGCGGGUUGCUGGGCUGAUACUGACGCUGAGGCGCGAAAGCUAGGGGAGCGAACGGG
rnacentral:rRNA from 1 species